rnacentral:rRNA from 1 species
GAUGAACGCUAGCGGCAGGCUUAACACAUGCAAGUCGAGGGGUAUGCUGAUUUAUCGGCAGAGACCGGCGCACGGGUGCGUAACGCGUAUGCAAUCUACCUUUCACAGAGGGAUAGCCCAGAGAAAUUUGGAUUAAUACCUCAUAGUAUAGCAGUUUCGCAUGAAACCACUAUUAAAGUUCCAACGGUGAAAGAUGAGCAUGCGUCCCAUUAGCUAGAUGGUAAGGUAACGGCUUACCAUGGCUACGAUGGUAGGGGUCCUGAGAGGGAGAUCCCCCACACUGGUACUGAGACACGGACCAGACUCCUACGGGAGGCAGCAGUGA